AAACAUGUCGUCGCGUCGGUGAAAUUGUUCUCUUUUUAAAAUAAAGUUCUCUAGAACAAAAUAUUAUUCAAAAAGUCGCGAAUUGUGUCGAAAAAGUAUGUUCAUACGCGAGUUCAAUGGGUGCCGAUAAAAAUAAUUAGCUCGGAAUAGUCGGGUUCGUGGUCGCGACUUGCAAAUCCGGACGUCGUCGUUGAAAAGUAGUUUUUACCAGUUUCGUUCCACUCGCGCUUCAGCUUCAAAGAACCAGCUAAUCAGCCCACUUCAACACCCAGGAACGGUCAACUAAAAAUUAAAUAAAAUUGCUCCCAUAACUGUGAUUUUAUGCAUAUGCAAAGCGAUGUGCGCGUGCGGUGAGGUUUCAAACACCAUCGCUUGUGGGUCUGCUGAGUACUGCUGACGAUGGUUGGUGACUGUGUAGUGACUGUGACUGUUGUGUAGUGUAUGAUUAGAGCCAGCAAACAUUAUCUUUACGGGAAUGCAACGAGAGCAAAUGACGAUGACCAAGGUAAGCACGGUACCCCGUGCUGCUCGCUUUUCACCGGUACGGAGCGACUGGUCGGAGUUGUCGCCAUGAACCCAGCCAACAUCAUCUUCGAUACCAAGGUCCCAAGGUCAACGGAAAGCAAAAGAACCAAGUCGAAUGCAAAAGAAAAAUCAAACAUUUUACCCGAGGAAAUCAGUUCGAUGGUGCAGAUGAAAACCGUUGUCUAUUUGGCAAGACGGUGUCCAUUGUCCAAUGUCGGUGCAUAAUAGUGCAUAUUUCAAUUGCAAUAAUAUGAAGAGAAGAUCGCGAAAAAGUGUUUAAUGUUUAAGCACCUACGCCUACUAAAGAAGUGUUAUUAUUUGUAAAAUUAUAAUAGUGUAGUGUGUGCUCCGGGAAAACAACACGGGAUCAAAUUAUGUAUAUGUAUACCGUGUGGCCGUGUGCAGAAAGAUUUGGCCAAGCUGGGAAGCAAGUAUUAUCGACAGCCAAGGCCAAGAGUGAAAGUAGAAGAUCAAAGUAAAAUGUUUUGGGGGAGUGCUUGAGAAUUGUCGACUCAGUCAGAAGUAACUUCGUUCUAAAAUGGCAAUAUACCCGACGUAGCUGGUAAACCUUGGAGCGCCUUCAAACGAUUUACCAAAGGACAAAUUCGGAUGACAAGUCGUCUACGAGACCCAGAUCAUCGCUUAGGUCCAGUAGAAGAAAAGCGCCAGGUGCUCGGUAUAUCGGAAUACUUCGUCGUUGCCGCCGUCUUGGUAUUAAACGCGCAACGCGGGUUUCCCGCAUGCACAAGUCGGUACGCUCAGCAAAUCGUAGAGCUUUCUUGUAGGUAAUGAGUAAAAUCAGAUUAGCUCAGUGGACUUUCUGGAUCUGUAAGCGAUGCACGGGUACAUCAUUCAGGACUUGAUUGUUCGGGUGCAAAAGGUCGUCGGAGCCGACUAGACCUAGACCCUGCACUAGCUAGCUGUAUGAAAUUUAAGAAGACGGACGUAUGACUGGCAUACAGGGAGACUGGCGGUUGGCGACCCAAGAACAAACGGAAUAAGAUGUUAUGUUCACUAUUCGUGCCAAGGACACUAAAAAUAAGAAACUAUCUCCACUUCAUCCACAAACUUGAAGUAAUGGACCAACUAUGAUAAAUGGUAAAGUCAUCAAGCUAUAGUGCUUUGGACUUGCACAAGCUGUGUAUGAGAUGCCAGAUGCCUUUCUGAAGAAGAGCAAGGAUCGUGCUCCGGUGAGAUAGAUGACAUCAGAAUCGCUUACGGACCACAUCUGCACCACAAAAAUUGAUGGCUAGGAAUUAUUCGCUAAAUGGAAUGUCGAAAAGAAAAAAUAAGAUGAAAUUUUGUUCGUGUUGCUCGGAUGAUACAAAUUUGCGACAUUGGGAUCAAAUUCCACAUCAAAUCUGAUGUACUGUAUGAAAACACGACGAAACCGAUUGCUCGAUAGUGUCUUUUGUCAUGGAGCGCGUUUCGGAAGUCUAUAGGAACCGUUUCAGUAUGUAUCGGUCAGCAAAAGCAGCGCCCUUGACAUCACAUUCGCUACCUGUCGCAAAAUCAUUAAAAAAUCAACUACCUAUUCGAAAAAAAUAUGAUACUACUGAUCGAGAACGCAACAAACGAGUAAAACCUGUGCUAUAAGAAUGGCGUCCGACUGCGACCAAAUCCAUCAUCGAUAACUACUAUUCAAAUCUGCUCUUCGAGCUGACCAAAUCUGCUUUUGGAUGAAACAUUUUUUUUUCGGGGCGCUAUUUGGAGUGACGACGAAUUCCAUUGCAAGAACGUAUGAUUAAAAUAAAUCUGAUGACGUGAUGACUUCCUCCGACAGGGUUAGGAGAUUCUCUUGUCUCUUAUACUGUUGACAAGAUUUUAUAUUUAUCCUGUCAAUCACUGUUACGAUGAAUUUUAAAAAAGCUUUUGAGAAUUUCAAUAAAACAAAUAAUUUCAUCUGUAAACCUCAAAUUAUGUAAACAUGCAAUUCUAAUAAAAGUCCAAAUUCGAGAAA